rnacentral:lncRNA from 1 species
AGAAUAAUUAUUUAUUAGAUUCUUUGGAAUCAUAUGAGAUGAUAUAGUUGAACAAAAUUAAUAUUUUUCAUUCAGUUGAAAUAUGAAACUAAAUAUCUUGCUAGAAACCCAGCCAUAAAACCAAAAGACCUCAAUGAGAUAGGUGACCGGUUUUGAAAUUGGUUGAGCAGAUGAAGACCUCAAUGAAGUAGGUAACCGGUCUUGGAAAUAAGACCGCCGGUACCACAAAACCGAUUGAGAAAAUGAAGACUCAAUGAGGUAGGUGACCGGUUUCAAAAAUAGACCGUCGGCACCAUAAAACCGGUUGAGGAGAUGAAAACCUCAAAAAGAUAGGCGACUGGUCUCGAAAAUAAGACCGUCGACACCACAAAACCGGUUGAGGAGAUGAAAACCUUAAUGAGGUAGAUGACCGAUACCACAAAACCGAUUGAGAAGAUGAAGGCCUCAAUAAGAUAGGCGACCGGUCUAAGAAAUAAGACCAACCGGUUGAAGAGACAAAGACCCCAAUGAGAUAGACGAUCAGUCUCGGAAAAAAGACCAUCGGCAUCAAAAACUGAUUGAGGAGCUGGCACUACAAAACCGGUUGAGGAGAUGAAAACCUCAAUGAGAUAGGUGACGGUUCUCGAAAAUAAGAUCAUCGGCACCACAAAAUCGGUUGAGAAUAUGAAAAUCUCAAUGAGGUAGGUAACUGGUCUCGAAAAUCAGACAGUCAGAACCACAAAACCGGUUGAAAAGAUGAAGACCUCAAUAAGGUAGGCAACCGGUCUUGAAAAUAAGACUGCUGGCACUACAAAACCGGUUGAGGAGAUGAAAACCUCAAUGAGAUAGGUGACGGUUCUUGAAAAUAAGAUCGUCGGACCACAAAAUCGGUCGAGAAUAUGAAAAUCUCAAUGAGGUAGGUAACCGGUCUCGAAAAUCAGACAGUCAGAACCACAAAACCGGUUGAAAAGAUGAAGGCCUCAAUGAGGUAGGCGACCGGUCUCAAAAAUAAGACCGCCGACACCACAAAACCGGUUGAGGAGAUGAAGAUCUCAAUGAUGUAGGUGAUCGGUCUCAUAAAUAAGACCGCCGAUACCACAAAACCGAUUAAGAAGAUGAGGAUCUCAAUAAAGUAGGUGAUCGGUCUCGAAAAUAAGACUGCUGACACCACAAAACCAGUUGAGAAAAUAAAAAUCUCAAUGAGAUAGGUAACCGGUCUCGAAAAUAAGAUUAUCGGCACAACAAAACCGGUCUCAAUGAAUUUCCCUUCAAAAUUCAUAAGUGUCAACCAAACGAACAGAUGACGUCGAGUUAGCAGGAUGGGUUCCCUUCUCCGACGAUCAAAAAUAACCAUCGGAGAAGCAAAAGGGCAACUGAUAACGUAUAAAAAAUUGGACCCCCAAGAUCGUGACACGUAUACACGUGAAUCGAAAGUCUUUCUAUCUAGUUGGAUCGGACAGUAAGAAACCCGACCUAUUGAGUACAAAGAAUCAGACCAACAAUACUCCUGAAUUUACCAAAAUCGAAACGGAAAGAUCGAACUCCUCAAAAGCCCGUACUACAAUAAGACUUUGAACGCCGACGUGGCCAACCUCAGUAACCAGAAUGAGCUCAUUUCUAUGUAGGUCGGAUGAGCCCGACACAACCUAAUGAAGCCGAAGUAAAAAUACCGACCUCCUAUGAGUUGGUCACCUCCUUGGUACAGCACAGGGAUCAUAAGUGCGCAUGUAGAGGAUACGAACCGGCCAGCUUCACAUUUACUAUCCUAUAACCCAUCAUUAAUGUAUUGCCUAAUACACAUGCACAGAACUAAAGGCAUCAACUUUAUUCAAAGGUAUUUAUAUGCCGAACUCACCCUAAAAAGGAAUCUCUCCUCUGAAAAAGGUCUAUCUCUCUCUCUGUCACACAGAGAGAACCCGAAAUCGCUAUCCUCUUCUCUUAUCUGUUUUACUUCCCUUAACUCCACUAAGUUCUCAGAUCUACUUGAGCGUCGAAGGGUCUCCACCGAGAACUCCCUGGUGGACCCCUGACCGUCUUUUUCAUCUUAUAGGACCCCUUCCUCAAAGCCAAGCAUAGAGAGAACCAACGGACCGAUCACAAAUUGAUUAUCAACCCAGCAAAUCAAACAUCUGCCUAGAUGUCCUCAUUUGGACACCCCGUCGGAUCUCAGCAUUAUCAUACUGUUAUUUAUAGGUUUAUGGGGAUACCAUUACUGACACCUUCUUUAAAUAAUAGCAGUAAAAGAAUUGUAAUCCACAACAGCCUUUAGCCAGAUAGGGAUUCUUAUUACUUUGUGGUGCAGAGAGCCAGAGAUUUAUUUUGCUUACAGUUUCUACACUUCUCCAUUUGUUUCUCUCAAAUUUCACAUCUUCAUAAAUCUUCAUUACUAAAGCUUACAUCAUCAAAUAGUGCAUGUUUAUUUGAAGUAAAGGAGAGCAAAUAAUCUAGAUUUCUACAUCCAUAUUCUCCCAAUCCAUCCAAGAUCAAUUUUGCAAUGAGCCACACUCCAUUGCCAAUUCAGGAUCCUACUUAUAUUAGUUUUAAAUUGAUUAUUGCUAACAAAUGGCUAAGAAUGAUGGAUAUACUGUCU